GUUGGUGCAAAAGUAAUUGCUGUUUUUGCCAUUGAAAGUAAUGGCAAAAACCACAAUUACUUUUGCACCAACCUA
ensembl:miRNA